UACGUAGGGGGCAAGCGUUGUCCGGAAUCAUUGGGCGUAAAGAGCGUGUAGGCGGCUUCGUAAGUCCGUUGUGAAAGUCCAGGGCUCAACCCUGGAAUGCCGAUGGAUACUGCGGAGCUAGAGUACGGAAGAGGCGAGUGGAAUUCCUGGUGUAGCGGUGAAAUGCGCAGAUAUCAGGAGGAACACCUAUGGCGAAGGCAGCUCGCUGGGACGUUACUGACGCUGAGACGCGAAAGCGUGGGGAGCAAACAGGAUUAGAUACCCCAGUAGU
rnacentral:rRNA from 1 species